UCCCUGUUGGCUCAGAUGGUAAAGAAUCUGCUUGCAACGCAGGAGAUGCAGGUUCGAUCCCUGGGUCGGGAA
rnacentral:tRNA from 1 species